UACGUAGGGGGCAAGCGUUAUCCGGAAUUACUGGGUGUAAAGGGUGAGUAGGCGGCAUGGUAAGCCAGAUGUGAAAGCCUUGGGCUUAACCCGAGGAUUGCAUUUGGAACUAUCAAGCUAGAGUACAGGAGAGGAAAGCGGAAUUCCUAGUGUAGCGGUGAAAUGCGUAGAUAUUAGGAAGAACACCAGUGGCGAAGGCGGCUUUCCGGACUGAAACUGACGCUGAGGCACGAAAGCGUGGGGAGCGAACAGG
rnacentral:rRNA from 1 species